UGGGGAAUCUUCCGCAAUGGACGAAAGUCUGACGGAGCAACGCCGCGUGAGUGAAGAAGGUUUUCGGAUCGUAAAACUCUGUCAAUUGGGACGAACGUGCUUUAGUUUAAGAGAUGAAAGCAAUGACGGUACCAAAGAAGGAAGCCACGGCUAACUACGUGCCAGCAGCCGCGGUAAUACGUAGGUGGCGAGCGUUGUCCGGAAUUAUUGGGCGUAAAGGGCGUGUAGGCGGGUUGAAAAGUCUUAAGUGUAAAUGCUGUGCUUAACAUAGUAUUGCUUAAGAAACUUUCAGUCUUGAGUUAAGGAGAGGAAAGUGGAAUUCCCAGUGUAGCGGUGAAAUGCGUAGAGAUUGGGAGGAACACCAGUGGCGAAGGCGACUUUCUGGACUUAAACUGACGCUGAGGCGCGAAAGCUAGGGGAGCGAACGGGAUUAGAUACCCCCGUAGUCC
rnacentral:rRNA from 1 species